rnacentral:rRNA from 1 species
GAUUAACGCUGGCGGCAUGCCUAAUACAUGCAAGUCGAACGGAAGCAGCAAUGCUUUAGUGGCGAACGGGUGAGUAACACGUAGGGAACCUACCUAUACGACGAGGAUAACUACUGGAAACGGUAGCUAAAACUGGAUAGGAUCAAUUGAGGCAUCUUGAUUGAUUUAAAGAUCCUUCGGGAUUACGUAGAGAUGGCCCUGCGGCGCAUUAGCUAGUUGGUGAGGUAACGGCCCACCAAGGCGACGAUGCGUAGCUGAGCUGAGAGGCUAAACAGCCACACUGGGACUGAGACACGGCCCAGACUCCUACGGGAGGCAGCAGUAGGGAAUUUUCGGCAAUGGGGGAAACCCUGACCGAGCAAUGCCGCGUGAACGAUGAAGGUUUUCGGAUCGUAAACUUCUUUGAUGAGGGACGAAAAAAUGACGGUACCUCAAAACAAGCCACGGCUAACUCCGUG